rnacentral:tRNA from 1 species
GGAAGGGUGGCAGAGCGGCUGAAUGCACCGGUCUUGAAAACCGGCAAUGGGUGACCAUUCGUGGGUUCGAAUCCCACCCCUUCCGCCA